rnacentral:rRNA from 1 species
UAGCCCAAACCAAUAAAGUUUUCUUUAUUGGGGUUGCGGACAUAUCAUAACGAAGAGGUAUCGUAAUUGAAGAGGUUUGGAAAGACCCACCACAGAAGGUAAUAGUCCUGUAUGUUAAACGAGAAGACUUCAGAUAUGAUCCAGAGUACCACGGGACACGUGAAACCCUGUGGGAAGCAGGAGGGACCACCCUCCAAGGCUAAAUACUACCUAGUGACCGAUAGCGUAUAGUACCGUGAGGGAAAGGUGAAAAGAACCCCGGGAGGGGAGUGAAAUAGAACCUGAAACCCUGCACUUACAAGCUGUGGAAGCACAUUUCUUGUGUGACCGCGUACUUUUUGUAGAACGGGCCAACGAGUUACGUUAAGUAGCAAGGUUAAGCACUUAAGGUGCGGAGCCGUAGCGAAAGCGAGUUUUAACUGAGCGUUCAGUUACUUGACGUAGACCCGAAACCGGGCGACCUACCCAUGAGCAGGAUGAAGCGAAAGUAAAAUUUCGUGGAGGUCCGAACCCACGAGCGUUGAAAAGCUCGGGGAUGACUUGUGGGUAGCGGUGAAAUUCCAAUCGAGCCCGGAGAUAGCUGGUUCUCCCCGAAAUAGCUUUAGGGCUAGCCUCAAGGUGAGAGAUACGGAGGUAGAGCACUGAAUGUCCUAGGGGGUAUUGCACCUACCGAAGACUAUCAAACUCCGAAUGCCGUCAUCUUAUACUUGGGAGUCAGACUGUGGGUGAUAAGAUUCAUAGUCGAAAGGGCAACAGCCCAGAUCGUCAGCUAAGGUCCCUAAAUGUAAGUUAAGUGGUAAAGGAUGUGGGAUUGCACAGACAACCAGGAUGUUGGCUUAGAAGCAGCCACUCAUUCAAAGAGUGCGUAAUAGCUCACUGGUCGAGUGAUCCUGCGCCGAAGAUUUCCGGGGCUAAAACUUACUACCGAAGCUACGGCAUCAGUAAUGAUGGGUAGGGGAGCUUCCCAUACGGGUUGAAGCAUGACCGUAAGGACAUGUGGACAGUAUGGGAGUGAGAAUGUUGGCAUGAGUAGCGAGAUGUGGGUGAGAAUCCCACAGGCCGUAAACCCAAGGUUUCCAGGGGAAGGUUCGUCCGCCCUGGGUUAGUCGGGACCUAAGCUGAGGCCGAAAGGCGUAGGUGAUGGACAACAGGUUGAU